GACGAACCACACAAACGUUAUUCGGAAUUACUGGGCUUAAAGGGUGCGUAGGCGGCGCGGAAAGUUGGGUGUGAAAUCCCUCGGCUCAACCGAGGAACUGCGCUCAAUACUACCGUGCUCGAGGGAGACAGAGGUGAGCGGAACUUAGGGUGGAGCGGUGAAAUGCGUUGAUAUCCUAAGGAACACCCGUGGCGAAAGCGGCUCACUGGGUCUCUUCUGACGCUGAGGCACGAAAGCUAGGGUAGCGAACGGG
rnacentral:rRNA from 1 species